rnacentral:rRNA from 1 species
UUAAGCUAAUAAGAGCGCAGGGUGGAUGCCUUGGCACUAAGAGCCGAAGAAAGACGUGAUAAGCUGCGAAAAGCUGCGGGGAGGAGCAAAUGUCCAUUGAUCCGCAGAUGUCUGAAUGGGGAAACCCGUCUGGAAGAACUCCAGUCACUGCAUGCUGAAUACAUAGGCAUGCAGGGGGAACCCGGUGAACUGAAACAUCUAAGUAGCCGGAGGAAAAGAAAGAAAAAUCGAUUUCCAAAGUAGCGGCGAGCGAAAUGGAAGGAGCCCAAACCGGGAUGCGUGCAUUCCGGGGUUAUGGACCGCAAGAAGUGACCCGUAAGAUAGAAGAAUGGCAUUGGGAAAGCCAGCCACAGAGGGUGAAAGCCCCGUAUUCGAAAUCAGAAGGGAGCGAGCGGAAUCCGAAGUACUACGAGACACGUGGAACCUUGUAGGAAAUCGGGGGGACCACCCCCCAAGGCUAAAUACUCCUUAGUGACCGAUAGCGCAUAGUACUGUGAAGGAACGGUGAAAAGAACCCCGGGAGGGGAGUGAAAGAGAACCUGAAACCCUGUGUUUACAAGCUGUGGAAGAGCUUUACAUGCUCAACCGCGUACUUUUUGUAGAACGGUCCGGCGAGUUACUCUUACUGGCAAGGUUAAGCACCAAAGGUGUGGAGCCGAAGGGAAACCAAGUCUUAACAGGGCGAGUUAGUCAGUGUGAGUAGACCCGAAACCGGGUGACCUACCCAUGUCCAGGAUGAAGUUGCCGUAAAAGGCAAUGGAGGUCCGAACACACAUCCGUUGAAAAGGGUGGUGAUGAGGUGUGGGUAGCGGAGAAAUUCCAAUCGAACCCGGAGAUAGCUGGUUCUCCUCGAAAUAGCUUUAGGGCUAGCCUCAAUUUAGUCUUGCGGAGGUAGAGCACUGAAUAUCCUAGGGGGCGUCAAAGCUUACCGAAGAUUAUCAAACUCCGAAUGCCGUAAAGAUGAUGAUUGGGAGUCAGACUGCACGAGAUAAGUUGGGUAGUCAAAAGGGAAACAGCCCAGACCUCCAGCUAAGGUCCCAAAGUGAGUGUUAAGUGGAAAAGGAUGUGGGAUUUCGAAGACAACUAGGAUGUUGGCUCAGAAGCAGCCAUUCAUUCAAAGAGUGCGUAAUAGCUCACUAGUCGAGAGGUCCUGCGCCGAAAAUGUCCGGGGCUAAACACUACACCGAAGCUGAGGAAUGACAAUGUCAUUGGUAGAGGAGCAUUCUUAACUGCGACGAAGCUGUACCGAAAGGAGCAGUGGAGUGUUAAGAAGAGAGAAUGCCGGAAUGAGUAGCGAGAGUGAGGUGAGAAUCCUCACGGCCGAAUAUCUAAGGUUUCCAGGGUAAAGCUGAUCUGCCCUGGGUAAGUCGGGACCUAAGGCGAGGUCGAAAGACGUAGUCGAUGGACAACAGGUUGAAAUUCCUGUACUGCAAUGUAUCAGAAAUGUGGGGACACAGACAGAGAGCCGGAGCCGGGAAUGGAGAAACCGGUGCAAGCGAGGUAGGAGAACAGCAGGCAAAUCCGCUGUUCAAUCUGAAGACGUGACGCGGAGCGAAAUUAAAGUAGCGAAGCCGGUGAGCUGGCUGUCAGGAAAAGCCGCUAUUGUGUACAUUGUACCCGUACCGUAAACCGACACAGGUGGAUGAGGAGAGAAUCCUAAGGCCGACGGAAGAAGCAUUGUUAAGGAACUCGGCAAAAUGGCCCCGUAACUUCGGGAUAAGGGGUGCCUACGAAGGUAGGCCGCAGAGAAUUGGCCCAAGCAACUGUUUAGCAAAAACACAGGUCUAUGCGAAACCGUAAGGUGAUGUAUAUGGGCUGACGCCUGCCCGGUGCUGGAAGGUUAAGAGGAGAGGUUAGAGCAAUCGAAGCUUUGAAUUGAAGCCCCAGUAAACGGCGGCCGUAACUAUAACGGUCCUAAGGUAGCGAAAUUCCUUGUCGGGUAAGUUC